rfam:Dipodomys ordii contig_63917, whole genome shotgun sequence.
GGUGGCUCAGUGGUAGAGCGCUUGCCUUGCAUCCAUGAGGCCCUGGGUUCGAUUCCCCAGCACCA